UACGUAGGGACCAAGCGUUGUUCGGAUUUACUGGGCGUAAAGGGCGCGUAGGCGGCUUGACAAGUCACUUGUGAAAUCUCCGGGCUUAACUCGGAACGGCCAAGUGAAACUGUCAUGCUGGAGUGCAGAAGGGGCAAUCGGAAUUCUUGGUGUAGCGGUGAAAUGCGUAGAUAUCAAGAGGAACACCUGAGGUGAAGACGGGGUUGCUGGGCUGACACUGACGCUGAGGCGCGAAAGCCAGGGGAGCAAACGGG
rnacentral:rRNA from 1 species